rnacentral:lncRNA from 1 species
UUUAAAGUGUGGCGUUGGGAUGGAUAAAUAAUGGUAGGAAGGGAAACUUGAUGAUCGGAGUAAUAAGAGAUGAAAAUAAAACUCGCAAGACUUUUCACUUCUUUUUUUUUACUCUUUUUUUUUUGCUCACUUCUUUUUUUCUUUUUUUUUUCGAUUUUUUUUUGAAUUUUGAUUUUUUUUGUGAUACUCCAAUACAAUAGUAAGGUAAAUACAAGGAAGGAAAAAAAAUUA